GGGCGGUUAGCUCAGCGGGAGAGCACUACGUUGACAUCGUAGGGGUCACAGGUUCAAUCCCUGUACCGCCCACCA
rnacentral:tRNA from 2 species